GGGCCCGCACAAGCGGUGGAGCAUGUGGUUUAAUUCGAUGCAACGCGAAGAACCUUACCAGGGUUUGACAUCCUGCGAAUCUCUUGGAAACGAGAGAGUGCCUUCGGGAACGCAGUGACAGGUGGUGCAUGGCUGUCGUCAGCUCGUGUCGUGAGAUGUUGGGUUAAGUCCCGCAACGAGCGCAACCCACGUCUUUAGUUGCCAGCAUUCAGUUGGGCACUCUAGAGAGACCGCCGGUGAUAAACCGGAGGAAGGUGUGGAUGACGUCAAGUCAUCAUGGCCCUUACGUGUUGGGCUACACACGUGCUACAAUGGUAUCUACAACAGGAAGCAAGACUGCGAAGUUAAGCAAAUCCUUAAAAGAUACCUCAGUUCGGAUUGCACUCUGCAACUCGAGUGCAUGAAGCUGGAAUUACUAGUAAUCG
rnacentral:rRNA from 1 species